rnacentral:ncRNA from 1 species
CGGAUUUAAAGUUUUUUUGCUUUGGGGUUUCAGAAAAGUUUGAGUAAAAUGUAAGUUUUGGCGUGAAAAAAUAUUUGUUUAAAUAAUACUUUUAACUAAUUAGGGGGCAGUUACUAAUUUUGAAUAUUCGGGGGGCCGAGAUAUAGCAGGGGUUAUAGUAUAAACAAAAUUUGUGCCAGCAGUUGCGGUUACACAAAUUAUGCAAUGAAAGUUUAUUGGGUAUAGUUAAUUGAAUUGGAAUAUAGAAUAGAAAAGAUCUUAUUGGGUGAAAUUUUAAGAUUUUAAACGUUUAUUUUUCAUAAAUGAGGCUAGGAAAUUUUAUUAAAGACUAGGAUUAGAUACCCUAUUAUAAAAAUGAAUUUUGAAAACCUGAAUUAUUAGUAGUUAAGAUCUUGAAAAUUAAUGAAGAUGGCGGUAUUUUAGUCUAUUCAGAGGAAUCUGCCCUGUGAUUGAUAUUCCACGAUUUAAAUUACUUAAGAUUUUAGCUUGCAUAUCGCUGUAGAUCGAAUAUUUUUACUGAAUUUGAAUGUUCACGAGUUUGAGAGAAAGGACAUCAAGUCAAGAUGUAGCUUAUUUUUAAGAAGAGGUGGAUUACAAUGCUGUUAUUUGUGGUUAGUAGGUUGAAAAGCCUACUAUAAAAUGGAUUUGAUAGUAAUUUUUUAUUAAGAUUUGAAAAAUGAUUUUAGCUCUAAAAUAUGUACAUAUCGCCCGUCGCUUUCAUCAUAAGGUGGAAUAAGUCGUAACAUAGUAGAUGUACUGGAAAGUGCCUCUAGAAGGCA